AACAUUGAAACCCAGAGUCACUAGUGCGGGCUGAAAGUGAAGGCUGGUACUUACUGAUGAAUAGCUUGCAAAAAUUUUCGUUGAUGUUUUCUUACUUUUGCAUGAUCUAUCUUUUUUACUAGCUUUGUAUUUUUGUAAAUUAGCCACGUUUCCCUGAGUACAUUGGCAGCUGCAUUUUUCACCUGUUAAGAAAACAAACACAGCAGUUGAUAAAUUCCAGAGCAGAACCGUCUGAAACCUGGAGGUCAGUCAUGUCCUUCUUCCCAAAGAUCAUGGAGAACACACAGCAAUGUCUGGAGGCAUUGGUUGUCACACAUUGAGGGACGUGCUACUAGCAUCUAAGGAUACUGCUGAACAUCCCACGAGGCACGAGAGUCCCACACGACAAAUAUCCAGCCCAGAAGCUCAGUAGUGACAAGUCUACCCUUGACAGUGACCAGAACUGCAGCCCCCCACUCAGCUCACUUACGUGGGAGGGCUUGUGUUCUUCUCUAACACUGAGAAAUGUUCACCAGUUU